rnacentral:rRNA from 1 species
GACGAACGCUGGCGGCGUGCCUAAUACAUGCAAGUAGAACGCUGAAGGAGGAGCUUGCUUCUCCGGAUGAGUUGCGAACGGGUGAGUAACGCGUAGGUAACCUGCCUUGUAGCGGGGGAUAACUAUUGGAAACGAUAGCUAAUACCGCAUAACAGUAGAUGUUGCAUGACAUUUGCUUAAAAGGUGCAAUUGCAUCACUACCAGAUGGACCUGCGUUGUAUUAGCUAGUUGGUGAGGUAACGGCUCACCAAGGCGACGAUACAUAGCCGACCUGAGAGGGGGAUCGGCCACACUGGGACUGGGGCCCGGCCCCGACUCCUUACGGGGGCAGCCGUAGGGAAUCUUCGGCCAUGGGCGGCAGUCUGACCGAGCCACGCCGCGUGGGUGGAGAAGGGUUUCGGAUCGUAAAACUCUGUUGUAAGGGAAGAACGAGUGUGAGAGUGGAAAGUUCACACUGUGACGGUAUCUUACCAGAAAGGGACGGCUAACUACGUG